AAAGUCGUAACAAGGUUUCCGUAGGUGAACCUGCGGAAGGAUCAUUACUGAAUGACCUGCGCCUUCUUGUAGCAGACCAGCGCUCAUUGCCAAAAUGGCUUGAUCAACUUCUGGCACAUCUGGGCCAGUUGUUUGUUUGAAAUGAGAGUUUAGGGGGGGGGGGGUUAGGGUUACCCUCUGUGGAGCCCUUUCUUUGGUCUGCUAUGCUUCACAAUCAAACUCGUCGUUGCAUGAUGAUGAUGUGGGUCGCAUCCUUUUGUUGGGUUGCACCCUCAAAGUAUGGAAAUAUAAAUAUAACUUUCAACAACGGAUCUCUUGGCUCUC
rnacentral:misc_RNA from 1 species